GACGAACGCUGGCGGCGUGCUUAACACAUGCAAGUCGAACGGAAAGGCCCUGCUUUUGUGGGGUGCUCGAGUGGCGAACGGGUGAGUAACGCGUGAGUAACCUGCCCUUGACUUUGGGAUAACUUCAGGAAACUGGGGCUAAUACCGGAUAGGAGCUCCUGCUGCAUGGUGGGGGUUGGAAAGUUUCGGCGGUUGGGGAUGGACUCGCGGCUUAUCAGCUUGUUGGUGGGGUAGUGGCUUACCAAGGCUUUGACGGGUAGCCGGCCUGAGAGGGUGACCGGCCACAUUGGGACUGAGAUACGGCCCAGACUCCUACGGGAGGCAGCAGUGGGGAAUAUUGCACAAUGGGCGGAAGCCUGAUGCAGCAACGCCGCGUGCGGGAUGACGGCCUUCGGGUUGUAAACCGCUUUCACCUGUGACGAAGCGUGAGUGACGGUAAUGGGUAAAGAAGCACCGGCUAACUACGUG
rnacentral:rRNA from 1 species